rnacentral:rRNA from 1 species
GGGUUGUGAGGUUAAGCGACUAAGCGUACACGGUGGAUGCCCUGGCAGUCAGAGGCGAUGAAGGGCGUGCUAAUCUGCGAUAAGCGCCGGUAAGGUGAUAUGAACCGUUAUAACCGGCGAUACCCGAAUGGGGAAACCCAGUGUGACUCGUCACACUAUCAUUAACUGAAUCCAUAGGUUAAUGAGGCGAACCGGGGGAACUGAAACAUCUAAGUACCCCGAGGAAAAGAAAUCAACCGAGAUUCCCCCAGUAGCGGCGAGCGAACGGGGAGGAGCCCAGAGCCUGAAUCAGCAUGUGUGUUAGUGGAAGCGUCUGGAAAGGCGCGCGAUACAGGGUGACAGCCCCGUACACAAAAGCGCACAUGCUGUGAGCUCGAUGAGUAGGGCGGGACACGUGGUAUCCUGUCUGAAUAUGGGGGGACCAUCCUCCAAGGCUAAAUACUCCUGACUGACCGAUAGUGAACCAGUACCGUGAGGGAAAGGCGAAAAGAACCCCGGCGAGGGGAGUGAAAAAGAACCUGAAACCGUGUACGUACAAGCAGUGGGAGCCCCACCACUAAGCCAGUGGUGAACUCCACAUACGCAUCCUUUGCUGAGGAUACGGUUAACGGAGCGCAAGCGACGUUCAACCGCAAAAGAAGCAGAGGGGGCUUAGUGGUGGGGUGACUGCGUACCUUUUGUAUAAUGGGUCAGCGACUUAUAUUCUGUAGCAAGGUUAACCGCAUAGGGGAGCCGGAGGGAAACCGAGUCUUAAUUGGGCGUUAAGUUGCAGGGUAUAGACCCGAAACCCGGUGAUCUAGCCAUGGGCAGGUUGAAGGUUGGGUAACACUAACUGGAGGACCGAACCGACUAAUGUUGAAAAAUUAGCGGAUGACCUGUGGCUGGGGGUGAAAGGCCAAUCAAACCGGGAGAUAGCUGGUUCUCCCCGAAAGCUAUUUAGGUAGCGCCUCGUGAAUUCAUCUCCGGGGGUAGAGCACUGUUUCGGCUAGGGGGCCAUCCCGGCUUACCAACCCGAUGCAAACUGCGAAUACCGGAGAAUGUUAUCACGGGAGACACACGGCGGGUGCUAACGUCCGUCGUGAAGAGGGAAACAACCCAGACCGCCAGCUAAGGUCCCAAAGUCAUGGUUAAGUGGGAAACGAUGUGGGAAGGCACAGACAGCCAGGAUGUUGGCUUAGAAGCAGCCAUCAUUUAAAGAAAGCGUAAUAGCUCACUGGUCGAGUCGGCCUGCGCGGAAGAUGUAACGGGGCUAAACCAUGCACCGAAGCUGCGGCAGCGACACUCAGGUGUUGUUGGGUAGGGGAGCGUUCUGUAAGCCUGUGAAGGUGGCCUGUGAGGGUUGCUGGAGGUAUCAGAAGUGCGAAUGCUGACAUAAGUAACGAUAAAGCGGGUGAAAAGCCCGCUCGCCGGAAGACCAAGGGUUCCUGUCCAACGUUAAUCGGGGCAGGGUGAGUCGACCCCUAAGGCGAGGCCGAAAGGCGUAGUCGAUGGGAAACGGGUUAAUAUUCCCGUACUUGGUGUUACUGCGAAGGGGGGACGGAGAAGGCUAUGUUGGCCGGGCGACGGUUGUCCCGGUUUAAGCGUGUAGGUGUGUGUUCCAGGUAAAUCCGGUUCACUUUAACACUGAGGCGUGACGACGAGGCACUACGGUGCUGAAGCAACAAAUGCCCUGCUUCCAGGAAAAGCCUCUAAGCAUCAGGUAACACGAAAUCGUACCCCAAACCGACACAGGUGGUCAGGUAGAGAAUACCAAGGCGCUUGAGAGAACUCGGGUGAAGGAACUAGGCAAAAUGGUGCCGUAACUUCGGGAGAAGGCACGCUGACACGUAGGUGAAGUGAUUUACUCACGGAGCUGAAGUCAGUCGAAGAUACCAGCUGGCUGCAACUGUUUAUUAAAAACACAGCACUGUGCAAACACGAAAGUGGACGUAUACGGUGUGACGCCUGCCCGGUGCCGGAAGGUUAAUUGAUGGGGUCAGCGCAAGCGAAGCUCCUGAUCGAAGCCCCGGUAAACGGCGGCCGUAACUAUAACGGUCCUAAGGUAGCGAAAUUCCUUGUCGGGUAAGUUCCGACCUGCACGAAUGGCGUAAUGAUGGCCAGGCUGUCUCCACCCGAGACUCAGUGAAAUUGAACUCGCUGUGAAGAUGCAGUGUACCCGCGGCAAGACGGAAAGACCCCGUGAACCUUUACUAUAGCUUGACACUGAACAUUGAGCCUUGAUGUGUAGGAUAGGUGGGAGGCUUUGAAGUGUGGACGCCAGUCUGCAUGGAGCCGACCUUGAAAUACCACCCUUUGAUGUUUGAUGUUCUAACGUGGACCCGUUACCCGGGUUGCGGACAGUGUCUGGUGGGUAGUUUGACUGGGGCGGUCUCCUCCUAAAGAGUAACGGAGGAGCACGAAGGUUGGCUAAUCCUGGUCGGACAUCAGGAGGUUAGUGCAAUGGCAUAAGCCAGCUUGACUGCGAGCGUGACGGCGCGAGCAGGUGCGAAAGCAGGUCAUAGUGAUCCGGUGGUUCUGAAUGGAAGGGCCAUCGCUCAACGGAUAAAAGGUACUCCGGGGAUAACAGGCUGAUACCGCCCAAGAGUUCAUAUCGACGGCGGUGUUUGGCACCUCGAUGUCGGCUCAUCACAUCCUGGGGCUGAAGUAGGUCCCAAGGGUAUGGCUGUUCGCCAUUUAAAGUGGUACGCGAGCUGGGUUUAGAACGUCGUGAGACAGUUCGGUCCCUAUCUGCCGUGGGCGCUGGAGAACUGAGGGGGGCUGCUCCUAGUACGAGAGGACCGGAGUGGACGCAUCACUGGUGUUCGGGUUGUCAUGCCAAUGGCACUGCCCGGUAGCUAAAUGCGGAAGAGAUAAGUGCUGAAAGCAUCUAAGCACGAAACUUGCCCCGAGAUGAGUUCUCCCUGAGACUUAGAGUCUCCUGAAGGAACGUUGAAGACGACGACGUUGAUAGGCCGGGUGUGUAAGCGCAGCGAUGCGUUGAGCUAACCGGUACUAAUGAACCGUGAGGCUUAACCUUACAACGCCGAAG